GUGCGAUUAUGGAGCGUUAUGUAAUUACGGAAAUGUUAACCAAUUUUAAAUUUCUUCCGAAAAUGGUGUCGUUAAGGGCUUUUUUUAAAAGUGCCGAGUUUGUCGCUUUUUAAUACAGCAUUUCAGGUUUUAUCUUGUGCGAAUGGACAAGUUAGUGAUUUUUUUCUGUUUGUAGUCUAAAUGGAACGUGUUACUUUUCAGCCCGGAUACCC
rnacentral:lncRNA from 1 species